AUUUACACCUUCAAAGAAAGGAUGUUGCUUGAUUUCUGUGGCUCCUCUUUUGUAUGCCAGUCUAUGCUGAGGCUCCUUCACGAGCAAGCCUCGGAUAAGAUCUCUAGCUGAGAAACUGACCACUGGAGAUUCUGGAAACCGCAAGGGCUGACCAACAACGUUGAAAAGAGUUUGUCGAUUUCCUGAUCCCUUGAAGGGUGUUUUGCCAAACAGUAACUCAUAUAGAAAGAUACCAAAGGUCCACCAG
rnacentral:misc_RNA from 1 species